UAUAGCACAUUUAAUGUAUUCAACGUGUGUCUGUUGUCCAUGUAAGAUGUGCUCCAGUUGGGUUGAAUUAUCUAGAAUACUAUGGAACGAAGUUGGUAUUCAUUUUAAUUGUUGGGAAUAGAACAUACAGCCCGUGAAUUGAAAAUAUGAGCUACGUGCGGAUUUGAAAAGAGUCUGAUGUUAGGAAGUUAAUUAAGGCUACAAAGAUGAAAGAGAAAAGAAUUCGGAAGGCAUUUAGAGAGGUCUGUCUCAAGGAAAAAAUAAAGUUACAAGCAAGGAGCUAGAAUUGAAGUCAAAUGGUGGAAGAGGAAUCUGAGAAGGGAAUAAAUAAAAGAGGCCGGUCUUACAUAUCACUAGGAACUUAAAUAAGAUAGGAUGAAGCUUGCUCCUCGAGAUGCAUAACGGGCAAGGAUUACAUACAAAAAUGGCUCGAAAAAUAAAAGUGAAGAAGCAUGCAAGGAUUUUUCUUAUAUAUUCCUCUUCUACUCA
rnacentral:lncRNA from 1 species